rnacentral:rRNA from 1 species
UACGGGGGGAGCAAGCGUUGUUCGGAUUUACUGGGCGUAAAGGGCGCGUAGGCGGUCGUGACAAGUCACUUGUGAAAUCUCCGGGCUUAACUCGGAACGGUCAAGUGAUACUGUCGGACUAGAGUACAGAAGGGGGCAACUGGAAUUCUCGGUGUAGCGGUGAAAUGCGUAGAUAUCGAGAGGAACACCGGUGGCGAAGGCGGCCUUCUGGACAGUGACUGACGCUGAGACGCGAAAGCGUGGGGGAGCAAACAGG